rnacentral:lncRNA from 1 species
AUCGACCACCCACACUGCAAAAGCAAGGAAUAAACACCCCACCAAAAUGAUGUGAUUUACUUUUCUUGUUUUUGAAUGAUGUGAUUUGUUUUUUGGAGACAUCUGUAUAAACCCCAUUAAAGGGUAAUAAUAAAAAUAAAAUAAAAAAUAAAUAAAACUGCAAAGCCCAAAGUAAAUGGGCUGGAAUGCUGUGUGGAGGGCGAAGGCCCAUAAGCCCAAAAUAGCACCAACCAGGUGAUCAAAAGUACGUCCAGUACUACAAAAAAUUAUUCGGCAGCAUGCCGCUAUUAUCACCAACCAGGUGAUCAAAAGUACGCCCAGUAUUCCAAAAAUUAUUCGGCAACCUGCCGCUAUU